GUAUGCCCCUACAGUCUUUUUAAUGCAGGCUUCUUAACGUUGAACACACCCCAUAGAGAUGCAUGGAUUCAAUGCAAUGUAUCUCUAUGAGGAGAUGCAGAUUGGCGCCCCACUGUGUUUUGCCGCAUAUGCACAAUAGCCUCCCAAAUUGGCUAAGAUCGUCAAGUUUGACGAUCUCAAUAAAAGAUGCAGGGCAGGGGGUGGGGAUAGCCUUGAUGAGACCUG